CCAAUGCAUACAUGCUAAACUUACAAUAUGAUGGUGCUGAAGAAACAGUUCUUUCUACUUCAUCCCCUGAUUUUAAUUUUGGGAACAAGUAAAAAAGCCUUGGCAGAUAGAGAACAGUAAUUACAAGUUACCUGCAAUAUGUACCAAGCCAAGAAAAGUGGGUCAUCUUUGGAUGCCAACCAUUUAAUGUUGAAUGAAAAACUUGUGUAACUUAACUUGUAUAAUUUUGUACUUACAACUCUGCGGUCGCGAUUGCUCUUAUCACCUUGGAUUGAAAUGCCUUUUACAGAGUCUAUGGUUGGAACAGCAUCAGAGCGCAAUUGUCGUCUCAUGUUUAGCGAUUUUACAACUGUUGCGUUCACGGUGAAUGCAGAAUCUGUGAAAUGCAUUGAACAUAGCACAGAGUACUGCUGAGGAACGAAUUUUGGCCUAUGUCUCCUAACAAAUUUUGUCCAUUUACUCAGCCUCUCCUUGUCAUUCAUGGGGAAACGAUGUACUGAGACACCCUCUGUGUGUUGACUGUUUGUACAACUUUUUCCGUUGGGCCAACCAGCAACACAAUAUUGUCCUCCUCGACGAUUUUUUGCAGAAUUUUGCCUACUCGCCAUAUUUUAACUUGCGGUGUAUCGUUACGUUUUGACUAACUUAAUAAAAAAUUAUUCUCCUUAUAUUAUGUGCGUUGUGAUAAUAUUGCAUGGGUUUUAAAACCACAGACUACGUCAAGGAUGCGACACCCAUAUGAUAAGAAUGAUAAGUCUAAUCCAGAAGUUUAUAAAAGUAGUAUACAUUGGAUGAUUGGAAAUAAGCGCGUUACAGUUAGUUUCUGAUAACAUUGCGUGUGUGUUAAAACCGCAGACUUCGUCAAGGAUGCGGCACCCAGUUUAUUGAGAAAUAUAAGUUAAUUCAAGAAGUUUA